rnacentral:lncRNA from 1 species
AAUUACUGUGCAGGAAGUGGUGGGAUAGGAAUUUUGACUGAGAAACCAAAGGGACUUCCGACGAAUGCCAAAACAAACAAAAUAACAACAGAUAGACUUAAAGCAGACUUGUCGAAGAACGAAAGGUUUUUUAAAAAAGAUGAACUAAGUUGGUGGUCAAACUUCUUUGAUGAGAUUGAAGAAGAUAAAGAGCAACUUACAGCACCUCUUGAGGAGUUGAGAAAAAUUGAAAAAAAAACAGAAAUACGACAUGCGUUGACAGAUAAUUUUGAUGAAUGUUACUCUGAUGAUGAAAUUCCAAUACAGGUGACGCUGAAAAGGAAAAGAUACACUAAAGAAGUUUAACGUGAAGCAGCAAAGGAAAAAAAGUGUAUCAGAUGUGCAGAAAUACCUUAACAGUUACAUUUAGUACAUGUAUAUUGCUAUAUCUUUCAUAAAUCAAAAUAAAAAUACACCAUGA